rnacentral:rRNA from 1 species
GAUGAACGCUGGCGGCGUGCUUAACACAUGCAAGUCGAGCGGAAGGACCUAAAUUGUUGGUUUCUGGAGUGACGGGCGGGCGAGUAAGAAAUAGGUGGAUUGCCCCUGUCUUUGAGUUAAGCCAGGUCGAGAAAGUGUAGUUAAGGCCAUUUAUUUUUUUUAGCCGCAUGGUUUAUAAGAAACAUACGCGCUUGCGGUUAGGUAUGGGGGGUAUCGGGCUGCAUUUGCUAGUUGGUAAUGUAACGGCUUAGCAAGGCAACGAUGCAUAGCCGACCUGAGAGGGUGAUCGGCCACACUGGAACUGAGACGCGGUCCAGACUCCUACGGGAGGCAGCAGUAGGGAAUCUUCCGCAAUGGGCGAAAGCCUGACGGAGCAACGGCGCGUGAGUGAUGAAGGUCUUCGGAUCGUAAAACUCUGUUAUUAGGGAAGAACAUAUGUGUAAGUAACUGUGCACAUCUUGACGGUACCUAAUCAGAAAGCCACGGCUAACUACGUG